rnacentral:rRNA from 1 species
GGGCACGAACGCUGGCGGCAUGCUUAACACAUGCAGUCGAACGGUAUCUUCGGAUGGCGUGGCGGCCGGGGGAGUAACGGGUGGGAACCUGCCCAGACGUACGGGAUAGCCCGGGGAAACUUGCCCCAAUACCGUCUGUGACCUGAUGGUGAAAGAUUUAUCGCCUGUGGGAGGUCCCGCGUCCGAUUACGUAGUUGGUGGGGUGUAGGCCUACGUAGCCGACGAUCCGUAGGUGGUCUGAGAGGAUGAUCUGCCACGCUGGUACUAAGACAAGGCCCCCACCCCUGCGGGAGGCACCGGUGGGGAAUUUUGGAGAGGGGGCGCAGGCCUGAUUUUGAAAUGCCGCGUGAGUGAUAAAGGCCUUAGGGUUGUGAAGCUCUUUCACCCUCGACGAUGAUGACGGUUUUGGGAGAAGAAACACCGGGUGACUUCUUGCCCUCCGCCGCGGUACGACCCCGGGAAGAAACACCCGGUAACUACCGUCCCCCGCCGCGGUAAA